GCUUUCUCUCCUUGGGACACUCAUACAUAGAUCCAGGUGCUGUGAUGCAAGGAAACCUAGGCCACACAGAGAGAGGCAUAUAUAGGUGAUCUAGCUGAAACCCCAGCUGUGAGGAAGCCUGCAGGCCCCAACCGUGGCUUGACUACAACUGCCUGAAAGAUCCCAGCAAGAAUUGCCUCGCUGAGUCCAGUCAACUGCAGGAACAGAGUGAGCUAGCUGACAUGCUGGACAGCUCCAGAUGGCAAGAAAUUGAGGUUGAUCCCUGCCAACAGUUUGUAAGAAACUGAAUCCCGUCAACAAGCAGACUUGAAAUAAUCUCAGAUUCCCCCCGCCUCCCAACCAAGAAGCAUCUGAGAGAGCAGUAACACUCACCUGCCAAGGUCCCCGGCUGCAUUCUUGAAGUCAGCGAGACCACAAACCAACUCUGGACACACCAGCACUUUGGGAGGCCGAGGCAGGUGGAUCAUCUGAAGUCAGGAGUUCAAGACCAGCCUGGCCAAAGUGGUGAAAACCCAUGGCUACUAAAAAUACAAAAAUUAGCUGGGCGCGGUGGUGCACGCCUGUAAUCCCAGCUACUUGGGAGGCUAAGGCAGGGGAAUCACUGGAACCUGGGAGGUGGUGGUUGCAGUGAGUGGAGGUCGCACCACUGCACUGCAGCUUGGGUGAUAAAGACUCUCACACGAAAAAUAAUAAAAAUAAAAUAAAAAGUUUUAGAGCAGGAACAAAAUUAAAAGUACACUUGGAAGAGGGCCAAGUGGGCGACUUGAGAGAUUCAAGUGCACGGUUUGGCCUUUGACUUGGAAUCUUAUAAGUUGGCAUGCUUGGUGGGUGUGUGGGGUGGUUGCAUCCCUUCUCCCCUGAUUCUUCCUUUGAGGUGGCCUGCCACUACUUGGGAGGGGCCUCUGGCACAGUGUGUUUACUGAAGUGGUGUGCAUGCUCACGAGGUGUUUUUCUCUUACCAGCUGAGUGUUCCCAGAGAGAACUCAUAUGCCAGUUCAACUCCACCAUUUUGUCUCUUAGUUCACAUGCUUGAGCCUACUCGCCCAACUCCUGAGAUCUAAUUAGGAAGCUGAUCACCAGUUUUGGGUUUUUCUAUCUAUUGGGGAGACUGCCUUUCUCUGGCGCUGGAUGAGAUCAAUUACUAUUUUAGACAGCUUAACAGCCUCCUGACGAUCACGUGAUGGUCUUCUGAUAUUCCUAGGGUUGGAGGUGGGGCUCUCCUGCCCUGCUUAUGUCUGCCGCUACCCACUGUAACAACACUGCCACGCAGGCUCUGCAUCAGGAGACCCACUGCGGCUUCUGGACAACACGAGAUGAAACCCAGGUUGCCCAGGACCUUCUGCUUGCCAACUGGUCAGGAGUCGUGUGGCUAUCUCACUUGUGCCUCCUAAAUCCCUCUCUCGGAAGGGGAGGUGGAGGGGUGCUGGUAUUGUCCUCAUUUUACCAAACCUCACGCCUAGUUCCCUUUCCACCAUCCCUGGGGCCUUCCAGAAGAAUCUCUGUGCUUGGAGAAAGGAGUACACAGCCUGAGGCUGGGUACGGGAUGCAAACAUCCAUUCAUUCAACUAUUUCUUGGGAACUGGGGCUGCGCAGGACAGGGAGACCCGGGACACUGUCCUAACGGAAGCCAAGACCUGGGGAAGCCCAAGUUGGACUCAGCUAA
rnacentral:lncRNA from 1 species